CAGUAGCGUAUAUUAACGUUGUUGCAGUUAAAGAGCUCGUAGUUGGAUUUCUGGUUUGGAUCACCCGUUCCGCCGGCGAUAGCCGUGUGAGUAACGAAGGUGCUAUCCGGCCAUCCGCUCAUCUCGUCGCCUGUACCCUUAACUGGGCCGCAGGAUGUACGGUUGAGCCAUUUACUUUGAAGAAAUUAGAGUGUUUAAAGCAGGCAAUUGCUGUGAAUACAUUAGCAUGGAAUAAUAAUAUAGGGCUUUUGUUCUAUUUUGUUGGUUUCCGGAACGGAAGUAAUGAUUGAUAGGGACAGUUGGGGGUGCUAGUAUUCCGCGGCCAGAGGUGAAAUUCUUGGAUUCGCGGAAGACUAACUUAUGCGAAAGCAUUCACCAAGGAUGUCUUCUUUAA
rnacentral:rRNA from 1 species